CCACAGAGAAACCUUGAACGACUUGCUGGUGUUCUUUUGGUUUGCAUUAGAAUGUGAAAGGAUCUGGAAACCUCA
ensembl:snoRNA